rnacentral:rRNA from 1 species
CCUAAGGUAGCGAAAUUCCUUGUCAGGUAAGUUCUGACCCGCACGAAAGGUGUAAUGAUUUGGGAGCUGUCUCGACAAUGUACUCGGCGAAAUUGUAGUACUAGUGAAGAUGCUAGUUACCUGCGACAAGACAGAAAGACCCCAUGGAGCUUUACUGCAGCUUGAUACUGGGUUUCGGUAAUUUAUGUACAGGAUAGGUGGGAUGCUAAGAAGUAUGUGCGCCAGCGCAUAUGGAGCAGACGUUGGGAUACCACCCUUAAAUUACUGGAAUUCUAACUAUAAGUCCUAAGCGGGCUUGAGGACAAUGUCAGGCGGGCAGUUUGACUGGGGCGGUCGCCUCCUAAAGAGUAACGGAGGCGCGCAAAGGUUUCCUCAGCGCGGACAGAAAUCGCGCGAAAGAGUGCAAAGGCAGAAGGAAGCUUAACUGAGAGACAGACAUGUCGACCAGAUACGAAAGUAGGUCUUAGUGAUCCGGUGGUUGUAAGUGGAAAUGCCAUCGCUCAACGGACAAAAGUUACCCUGGGGAUAACAGGCUUAUCUCCCCCAAGAGUUCACAUCGACGGGGAGGUUUGGCACCUCGAUGUCGGCUCAUCGCAUCCUGGAGCUGAAGUCGGUUCCAAGGGUUGGGCUGUUCGCCCAUUAAAGCGGUACGCGAGCUGGGUUCAGAACGUCGUGAGACAGUUCGGUCCCUAUCUGUCGUGGGCGCAGGAAAUUUGAGAAGAGCUGUCCUCAGUACGAGAGGACCGGGAUGGACGCAUCAAUGGUGGACCAGUUGUCACGCCAGUGGCAUAGCUGGGUAGCUAAAUGCGGAAGGGAUAAACGCUGAAGGCAUCUAAGUGUGAAACCCACUUCAAGAUGAGAUUUCCCAUUGCGCAAGCAAGUAAGACCCCUUAAAGACGAUAAGGUAGAUAGGUCAGGAGUGUAAGCAUGGUGACAUGUUAAGCGGACUGAUACUAAUAGGUCGAGGGCUUGACCGA